UGAUCUCAAAUCAGGUAGGGAUACCCGCUGAACUUAA
rnacentral:rRNA from 1 species